UAUGAUAUCAUGUAUGUAAAUGUAACUAUGUAAGUGUGAUACUAUGAUGGUCUAUACAUAAACAAAAACCCUGGAUUCCUGCAAAAAAAAAAAAAAAAAAAUUAACGUCUCUUGAUAUGAAAUUGGGGACUACUUACAUGGAACAUAUCCCAAUCAGGUUGCAUAAAUUCUCCAAGGAACAAAGUGUUGUAAGCCACUGAGGAAAUGUGUAUAGUAUGAGAAGCAGGGUCUCGAGGGUAAUAGUCAUCAGAAGCUCUGACUACAGCAAGUUUCCUUGCACUAUACAGUCCGUCAGUAUUAUGGCUCAUACAAGAAAUGCAACCAUUAUCAGGGAAGUUUUCUGAAAUGGAGGCUUCAAGUGCCUGGAUAUAGCUGCGCGUAAUAGAAACUCUUCCACCGAAACCAGCACCAAGAGUCUCAAUAAUGGUCUGGACAUCUACUUUCACUCCAUCUAC
rnacentral:lncRNA from 1 species